rnacentral:rRNA from 1 species
UACAGGGGGUGCAAACGUUGCUCGGAAUCAUUGGGCGUAAAGCACACGUAGGCGGUUCGUUAUGUCGGAUGUGAAAGCCCUUGGCUUAACCGAGGAAGUGCAUCCGAAACUGGCGAGCUAGAGUACGAAAGAGGAUCGCGGAAUUCCCGGUGUAGAGGUGAAAUUCGUAGAGAUCGGGAGGAACACCAGAGGCGAAGGCGGCGACCUGGAUAGGUACUGACACUCAACUACGAAAGCGUGGGGAGCAAACAGG